rnacentral:lncRNA from 1 species
UCUAGGCUUGGUUGAGCCGCGCAGGAAGGUCCGAGGCUGGGGGAGCAGCCGUUGGCUCUGGUGCCCCUGGGGGUGGGAGCACGAGUGGGCAAGGAUGAUGGUGAGGCAGAGGAGGCGGCCCCGAGGGAGCGCCCGGCUGAGAGGCGGGGGGCCGAGGGGCCCGGGGAGCGGGCGUCACCGAGGGCCCUGGAAGCGGCAGGGCUGGGGGAGAGGAGACGCGUGUGUGGAGCAUGGGGACCCCAGCCCAGCUCCCACUUGCAGACCUGGGCCGCGGGCUGCCGGCCGAGUGGCCGGGGGGCCUGGCUGCCCAGGAGGCGGGCCGGGGCCGCGGCCGGGGGCGCGGAGCGGAGUUAGGGUCGCCAGGCCGAGCCGAGGUGGGACGGACCGACGCAGAGAGGAAGGGAAGCCACCUGGCCUGAAGAUCCUGUCUCUAAGAUCCCAUUCUGAGGCUUCGAGGGUCUGGCUUGAGCAGCACAGACAGGGACGUGUCUAACCGGGAUGACCAUGAGGUCUCAUCGCAGUUUGCCACUAACCAGGUGCCAGAAGCCCAGGAAGCACACAUCAAGGCUCACUUGCCAGCAGGGUGCUGCCAAUAAAAUGUAGUCACGUGGAAUUUGGAAUGUGGAAAGGAGGUAGAAGUCAUCCUUUCCUUCCCCAUAGCAGCAGGCGUGCAGGCUCUGGUGGUCAGCUGGACUCCAUACUCCCCCACCAGUCACCAGCCUGGGGACGGUGGGGCUGCAAGGACCUCAGCAGCGGUUUCCCAAGUUUCCUGCCUUCUUCCAUCCUCUGGAAAUCAGCUGUGUAGCCUGAAAGCCAGUGGUGCAACCCCGUCCCCACAACCUUCACCACCUCUAGCCCCUCCAGUGAUAAGCACUAAUUGCCUAUAUACAACCCCUUUUGUUUGAAAUAUCUAGAGUAAUUUCUGUUUUCCUAUCUGGGGUAGUGUAACAUAAGAAGAAAUAUAUAUUUGGUCUCUGCCCACAGUUCCUAACACAAAGCUCCUAAAACCCUUGGAAAUUCCUGAAUGAUGGGGGUGCUAGGAGCAUUGUCUUCUUUUUGUAAAAAAUGUAUCAUUUUUCUUUUCUCGAGUGGUUUUUUUCUUUUAGGAAACAAACUUUUAUUUUAGGUUAGGGGAUACAUGUGCACGUUCGUAAUAUAGGUACACUUGUGUCAUGGCGGUUUGUUGUACAGAUUAUUUCAUCACCCAGGUACGAAGCCUAGUACCCAGUAGUUUUUUCUGCU